rnacentral:rRNA from 1 species
CAACACGGGGAAACUCACCAGGUCCAGACACAAUGAGGAUUGACAGAUUGAGAGCUCUUUCUUGAUUUUGUGGGUGGUGGUGCAUGGCCGUUCUUAGUUGGUGGAGUGAUUUGUCUGCUUAAUUGCGAUAACGAACGAGACCUUAACCUGCUAAAUAGCCCGUAUUGCUUUGGCAGUACGCUGGCUUCUUAGAGGGACUAUCGGCUCAAGCCGAUGGAAGUUUGAGGCAAUAACAGGUCUGUGAUGCCCUUAGGUGUUCUGGGCCGCACGCGCGCUACACUGACGGAGCCAGCGAGUACUUCCUUGUCCGAAAGGUCCGGGUAAUCUUGUUAAACUCCGUCGUGCUGGGGAUAGAGCAUUGCAAUUAUUGCUCUUCAACGAGGAAUCCCUAGUAAGCGCAAGUCAUCAGCUUGCGUUGAUUACGUCCCUGCCCUUUGUACACACCGCCCGUCGCUACUACCGAUUGAAUGGCUCAGUGAGGCGUCCGGACUGGCCCAGAG